rnacentral:rRNA from 1 species
UUAGAGUUUGAUCCUGGCUCAGGAUGAACGCUAGCGGCAGGCUUAACACAUGCAAGUCGAGGGGCAGCGAGAGUGAUAGCAAUAUUACUUGUCGGCGACCGGCGCACGGGUGCGUAACGCGUAUGCAACCUACCAUCAACAGGGGGAUAACACUGAGAAAUCGGUACUAAUACCCCAUAAUAUCUCAUGCGGCAUCGCAUGGGGUUGAAAACUCCGGUGGUUGAUGAUGGGCAUGCGUUGUAUUAGCUGGUUGGUGAGGUAACGGCUCACCAAGGCGACGAUACAUAGGGGGACUGAGAGGUUAACCCCCCACAUUGGUACUGAGACACGGACCAAACUCCUACGGGAGGCAGCAGUGAGGAAUAUUGGUCAAUGGACGCAAGUCUGAACCAGCCAUGCCGCGUGCAGGAUGACGGCUCUAUGAGUUGUAAACUGCUUUUGUACGAGGGUAAACCCCGAUACGUGUAUCGGGUUGAAAGUAUCGUACGAAUAAGGAUCGGCUAACUCCGUGCCAGCAGCCGCGGUAAUACGGAGGAUCCGAGCGUUAUCCGGAUUUAUUGGGUUUAAAGGGUGCGUAGGCGGUUUGAUAAGUUAGAGGUGAAAUGUCGGGGCUCAACCCCGAAACUGCCUCUAAUACUGUUGGACUAGAGAAUAGUUGCGGUAGGCGGAAUGUAUGGUGUAGCGGUGAAAUGCUUAGAGAUCAUACAGAACACCGAUUGCGAAGGCAGCUUACCAAACUAUAUCUGACGUUGAGGCACGAAAGCGUGGGUAGCAAACAGGAUUAGAUACCCUGGUAGUCCACGCAGUAAACGAUGAUAACUCGUUGUCGGCGAUACACAGUCGGUGACUAAGCGAAAGCGAUAAGUUACCCACCUGGGGAGUACGUUCGCAAGAAUGAAACUCAAAGGAAUUGACGGGGGCCCGCACAAGCGGAGGAACAUGUGGUUUAAUUCGAUGAUACGCGAGGAACCUUACCCGGGCUUGAAAGUUAGCGACGACGCUUGGAAGAGCGUUUCCCUUCGGGGCGCGAAACUAGGUGCUGCAUGGUUGUCGUCAGCUCGUGCCGUGAGGUGUCGGGUUAAGUCCCAUAACGAGCGCAACCCCUACUGUUAGUUGCCAUCAGGUGAUGCUGGGCACUCUAGCGGGACUGCCGGUGUAAGCCGAGAGGAAGGUGGGGAUGACGUCAAAUCAGCACGGCCCUUACGUCCGGGGCCACACACGUGUUACAAUGGUAGGUACAGAGGGCAGCUACCCUGCGAAGGGGUGCGAAUCUCGAAAGCCUAUCUCAGUUCGGAUUGGAGGCUGAAACCCGCCAACAUGAAGUUGGAUUCGCUAGUAAUCGCGCAUCAGCCAUGGCGCGGUGAAUACGUUCCCGGGCCUUGCACUCAAGGCCCGUCA